rnacentral:lncRNA from 1 species
AGAGCUGCCCUCCAACUAGGAAAGGCAGAGAGCCAGACAGCGUUUGGGUCACAUCUGAACUUACACCCUUCACGGAAUACAAAGUGGCCACUGGCAGGCUGCCGCUUUCCAGGAUGACAUUCCUGAAGCUUCUGGCGUGCCCCACUCGGUUUAAAGGCUUAAAGAGCCUGGAACUCCAGGCUAACCACCGCAGACUGCUGCACUAAAUGCCCUGCUCUCUAUCUUCUAGUGUACACAUGAUUUCUUUUUCCCCUAAUGUGUGGACCUAGAAAUAGAACUGCUGGAUGCAGUCCCUGGAUACGCUGUUACUGCCAAGCACCUAAGCAUUCCCACGUCAGGGAUCACAUUCCUCCAGCACCAGCCACCCUUGGUGUUGUGGCAUCACUAUAUAUCAGCAGCCUGAGGGCAACUUUCUGCUAUUUUAAUUUGC